AAUUAUAAUACUUUAGCAAAUAAAAGUUUUUUUUGUGUAUUUAGAGUUCUAAAUUAAGUCGAUUAAAUGAUCGAUUAUCGUUUUAUAGUACCUUCUUGCCAUGUCUAUUUUUGUUGUAACGUCCUUUUCGUUGCAAAUCGAUCAUAAUUUUGAAAAAUUCAAUCGUUUUCGUUAGGGAAGAAAACCUUUUUCUAUAGAAAAAAGACUGAUUUGGUUAUAUUAUGAUAAAUCAACAUUUGAGCCCGAAAUGAAUAGUUUGUUUUCAUGUUAAAGCACAACCGGCUGAUUUCAAGUGUGUUUAUACUUCGCUCUUAUUUUUUUUCUAUCUUUGUUGACCGAUCAUUUUACGUGCCAGAAACGCGCUAGCGUGUCGACCGGUAAGACGUAUGAAAUCGUAUAGUUCUUGUACUAAAAAUAAAAAAUCACUUUAAAUUCGUGAUAUCUCCAAAUUGUGCUACCAAUUAUUUUGCUUUUAAAUUUCCUUUUCGCAUUUAAAUUUAUGUGACAAUAAAUACGUAUUUAUACUACAGUGUUUUUCGCGAUUCGUUAUUUUGAAAGAACAAGUGGUUGUUAAAGGAAAAUACAAAAUGUAUUUCAAUUCAAAAUUUGGCAAUCGUAAUCCAAUGAGAAGGGCUAGAGGAAGAGGAAUAACACAAAGCAAUUUAUCUUCUAAUGAAUGUCUUUGUAAUAGACCACAUGGUUUUGUGCUCUGCAAUGUUUGUGGUUAUUUGACAAAGGGCAGAGUACGUUAUUUCUGUCCUAUUCAUCCACAGGUGUGUUGUCUUUGAGACAAUUUUUUUGCUUGACAUUGCUCAAUGUCCUCAAUGUAAGUCAUAUGGUUUUAUGUUGAGUGAAUAUUAAAUAUUAAAAAUAUAUUCUUUAUUUAAUUUAAUAU